rnacentral:lncRNA from 1 species
GAUUGAAGACUGCUUUUAGUUAUUUUCUAGAUGACUCAAUCGUUUCUGUUACAUUCAUUGUUCAAUAGUUAAGUAAUUGAAAGUAUUUCACAGUAUUAGUUAGCUAUAAAAUUAAGAAAAUUUAUUAUCCAAAGAUACCUAUAAGAUAGAUUUACGCAGUGAAUUUUCUUUUGAUUUUGGAGAACCCAUCUUGUCAGGAAAAGGGACUUCAUGGUAUUAUAUGCUCUAAUGGGCAAUUUGAUCUGCGCUGUUGUUUCCAAUCUGGAAGUUGCAAUAUCCAGUCUCAUGUCAUUUGCUAGAUCAGUUUCUUCGCCCAAUUUCAACCCUCACAUUAAGGGCAUCUAAAAUUUAAGACAACGUCUAAAUGCGGCAGCAAUUUGGGUAUUUCUAAUCCUUACCUGCAUAAUUGUGUAUGGUUGAGUUUUUACCAUAUGCAAAACUGUUUUUGCUCUUCUUGGUCACAAUGAUCAAAGGCUUGAAAUAGUCAUUAUUUCUGCAGGUUAUAUGAUCACAUGUCAUCGUCUGAUGUGAAAACGUGUCUUAGUAUUACUCCCCAGUUUAUCUCUUGCUAAACUUAACACCGCUUCUUGCUUAUGUCAAAACAUAUAUUCAUGACAUGCAAUUCGUUAUUUUAAUAUGGAUAGGUGUCUCAGUUUUCCUGCCCCAGAUCAUCUCUUACUCAUUUAGUACUUCCGUAUGUUAAAUACAUAUUUACGUGACAUGUAUUAAUGCUCUUCAUCUUCUUUUUAUGUACGGCAGCACUGGACACAAAAAAGAGAUCAUUCUUGAGAAGGCAUUGGUAUCUCCUUCUCCCUAUAUCUCAUUUAUAU